GCCUCUUUAGCUCAGUUGGUAGAGCAACGCUUUCGUAAAGCGUGGGUCGCAGGUUCAAGUCCUGUAAGAGGCU
rnacentral:tRNA from 3 species